rnacentral:rRNA from 1 species
AUGCAGCAUAAAGCGGAAGCUCCACUGGUGAAGCAGAUGAGAACUUGCCACCUUGUGGAGCCUAAUCUUGUGGGAAAGGAAACUUUACAUGCUUGCACAAGGUUGGUUGAACUGAUGCUUCCACAAAAGAAAAAGAAGGCGUACAAGGUUGGGAAGACAACUCUGGCUCAGAAAAUAUAUAAUGACCAAAAAAUAAAAGGAGCAUUUAGCAACCGAGCAUGGAUCUGUGUUUCUCAGGAGUACUCUGAAGUUGCUCUAUUGAAAGAAGUUGUUCGAAAUUUUGGUGUACAUCAAGAGCAAGGUGAAAGUGUGGGAGAGCUCAGCAGCAAGCUUGCAGAGGCCAUUCGAGGAAAAAGUUUCUUUCUUGUGCUAGAUGAUGUUUGGCAGCCUCAGGUGUGGACCAAUCUGCUGAGAGUUCCAUUCCAUGCUGCUGCAACCGGAGUAAUUCUAGUAACCACUCGACAUGAUACAGUUGCACAUGUAAUUGGGGUGGAGGAUGUGCAUCGAGUUGAGUUGAUGGCAUUAGAUGUAGGAUGGGAACUGCUCUGGAAGAGUAUGAACAUUAAUCAAGAAAAUGAUGUGCAAAACCUUCGGCAUAUAGGCUUGGAAAUUGUGUGUAAAUGUGGCGGACUUCCCCUUGCAAUCAAAGUUACUGCUAGUGAUCUAGCAACUAAAGAGAGAACUCAGAAUGAGUGGAGAAAGAUUAUGGAGAGAAGUGCAUGGUCUAUGUGCAAUCUUCCAAUCGAGCUCAGAGGUGCUCUGUAUUUGAGUUACGAUGAUCUGCCACGGCAUUUGAAGCAAUGCUUCCCCUAUUUGACCUUAUAUCCAGAAGAUCAGUACAUGUACCGUGAUGAUCUUAUCAGGCUUUGGAUUGCUGAAGGCUUUGUUGAGGAGCAUAAAGAACAACUUCUGGAAGAUACAGCUGAAGAAUAUUACUAUGAGUUGAUGUAUAGGAAUCUACUGCAACUAGACCCUUUGCGUUUUGACCGUAGCAUGUGCAAAAUGCAUGAUCUCUUGAGGCAACUUGCUCAACACUUUUCAAGAGACGAAAAUUAUUGUGGUGACCCACAAUCAUUACAGGUUACAACUCUGUCCAAGCUACGGCGUGUUUCAGUUGUCACUGACAAAGAUUCUUUAAUGCUCCCCAAUGUGGACAAAGAGAAGAUUAGAGCAAGGACACUGUUAAUUCAUUCUACUAAGAAAUUGAGUGUUGAAAAUACAAUUUUCAAGAGGCCACCAUGCAUCAGAGUUUUAGAUCUGACUGGUUCAUCUAUAAAAAGCAUUCCAGAUUGUGUUGGUGGUUUGAUCCAUCUACGACUUCUUGAUCUAGAUGAGACAGCCAUAUCUUGUCUUCCAGAGUCAAUCGGUUCUUUGACAAACCUUCAGAUACUGAACUUGCAAAGGUGCAAAGCUCUGCACAGCCUUCCUUCUUCGAUCACACAAUUGUGCAAUUUAAGGCGCCUUGGUCUAGGUGGUACACCGAUAAAUCAGGUGCCAAAAGGGAUAGGUAAACUAGAAUUCCUCAAUGAUCUGGAAGGAUUUCCUAUUGGUGGUACAAGUGAUGAUGCUAAUACACAAGAUGGAUGGAAGUUGGAAGAGUUAGGGCAUCUUUGGCAGCUAAGGCAGCUUCACAUGAUCAAAUUGGAAAGAGCAGCUCCUAGUACGGCAAAUUCUUCAUUGUUAGGAGGCAAAAAGUAUCUCAAAUUUUUGAAUCUUUGGUGCAGUCAACGUAAAGAAGAACCAAAUUCAGAUGAUAUCAGCAAUAUUGAGAAGAUUUUUGAGCAGCUAGUCCCUCCACUCAACUUGGAAAAGCUUAUUAUUGUUAAAUUCUUUGGUCGAAGCAAUUUGGCAGCUAGCCAGCCUGAGAUAUCUGAAAAUUGUUGGAGCAAGCGCAAUUACCAAGAUCUGACCCGAAUUUGUUGGAUGCGGGGAGGCUAA